rnacentral:rRNA from 1 species
GUGCCAGCCGCCGCGGUAAGACGUAGGGGGCGAGCGUUGUCCGGAUUUAUUGGGCGUAAAGCGCGCGUAGGCGGUUCGUUAAGUCGGAUGUGAAAAUCCGGGGCUCAACCCCGGACCUGCAUCCGAUACUGGCGGACUGGAGGCAGGCAGGGGAGAUCGGAAUUCCUGGUGUAGCGGUGAAAUGCGCAGAUAUCAGGAGGAACACCGGUGGCGAAGGCGGAUCUCUGGGCCUGUCCUGACGCUCAGGCGCGAAAGCUAGGGGAGCAAACAGGAUUAGAAACCCUCGUAGUCC